GAGCACGUAGGUGGGUUUGUAAGUCAGAUGUGAAAGCCUUCUGUUCAACGGAAGAAUUGCAUCUGAAACUACGAGUCUUGAGUGUAGGAGGGGAGAAUGGAACUUCUGGUGGAGCGGUGAAAUGCGUAGAUAUCAGAAGGAACGCCGGCGGCGAAAGCGAUUCUCUGGCCUAUUACUGACACUCAGUGUGCGAAAGCUAGGGGAGCAAACGGGAUUAGAUACCCCGGUAGUCCUAGCCGUAAACGAUGGGCACUAAGUAGAGGGAAUUACCGAUAUUCUCUCUGCCGUAGCUAACGCAUUAAGUGCCCCGCCUGGGGAGUACGGCCGCAAGGCUAAAACUCAAAAGAAUUGACGGGGGCUCGCACAAGCGGUGGAGCAUGUGGCUUAAUUCGAUGCAACGCGAAAAACCUUACGGGGGCUUGACAUGAUAGAAGUAGGAACCCGAAAGGGUAACGAACGGUAUCCAGUCCGUAGCUAUUACAGGUGUUGCAUGGCUGUCGUCAGCUCGUGUCGUGAGACGUUGGGUUAAGUCCCCUAACGAGCGAAACCCUUGUUUUUAGUUGCCAGUGGGUUAUGCCGGGCACUCUAGAAAGACUGCCGUCGUCAAGACGGAGGAAGGUGGGGAUGACGUCAAGUCAUCAUGGCCCUUAUGCCCCGGGCUGCACACGUGCUACAAUGGUCGGUACAAACGGAAGCGAAGCCGAGAGGUGAAGCGAAUCC
rnacentral:rRNA from 1 species